AUUGAACGCUGGCGGCAGGCCUAACACAUGCAAGUCGAACGCGUGGCACACGUGUGUGUUAUCUCUGGGAAUCUGCCUGAUGGAGGGGAUACAUCCUGGAAACGGUACCUAAUACCCCAUACCAUCGGUUUUGCCCCAAGGGGAUUAGCUGGUAGGUGGGGUAAAGGCUCACCUGGGCGACGAUCCCUAGCUGGUCUGAGAGGAUGACCAGCCACACUGGAACGGAGACACGGUCCAGACUCCUACGGGAGGCAGCAGUGGGGAAUAUUGCACAAUGGGCGCAAGCCUGAUGCAGCCAUGCCGCGUGUAUGAAGAAGGCCUUCGGGUUGUAAAGUACUUUCAGCGGGGAGGCGUUACCCGCAGAAGAAGCACCGGCUAACUCCGUGCCAGCAGCCGCGGUAAUUC
rnacentral:rRNA from 1 species